AUUGAACGCUGGCGGCAGGCCUAACACAUGCAAGUCGAACGAGUGGCGGACGGGUGAGUAAUGUCUGGGAAAUUGCCUGAUGGAGGGGGAUAACUACUGGAAACGGUAGCUAAUACCGCAUACCAUCGGAUGUGCCCAGAUGGGAUUAGCUAGUAGGUGGGGUAAAGGCUCACCUAGGCGACGAUCCCUAGCUGGGCUGAGAGGUUGACCAGCCACACUGGACCUGAGACACGGUCAAGACUCCUACGGGAGGCAGCAGUGGGGAAUAUUGGACAAUGGGCGCAAGCCUGAUGCAGCCAUGCCGGGUGUGUGAAGAAGGCUUUCGGGUUGUAAAGUACGUUCAGCGGGGAGGCGUUACCCGCCGAAGAAGCACCGGCUAACUCCGUGCCAGCAGCCGCGGUAAUUC
rnacentral:rRNA from 1 species